rnacentral:rRNA from 1 species
UGUAGCAAUACAUGCUGACGAGCGGCGGACGGGUGAGUAACGCUUGGGAAUCUGCCUGUUAGUGGGGGACAACACGGGGAAACUCGUGCUAAUACCGCAUACGCACUACGGUGGAAAGCCGGGGACCGCAAGGCCUGGCGCUAACAGAUGAGCCCAAGUCGGAUUAGCUAGUUGGUAGGGUAACGGCCUACCAAGGCGACGAUCCGUAACUGGUCUGAGAGGACGACCAGUCACACCGGAACUGAGACACGGUCCGGACUCCUACGGGAGGCAGCAGUGGGGAAUAUUGGACAAUGGGGGAAACCCUGAUCCAGCGACGCCGCGUGGGUGAAGAAGGCCUGCGGGUUGUAAAGCCCUUUCGGUUGGGAAGAAAAGCUGUGACCUAACACGUUGCGGCCUUGACGUAACCAACUAAAGAAGCACCGGCUAACUCUGUGCCAGCAGCCGCGGUAAUACAGAGGGUGCGAGCGUUAAUCGGAAUUACUGGGCGUAAAGCGCGCGUAGGCGGCUUUUCAAGUCGAUUGUGAAAUCCCCGGGCUUAACCUGGGAACUGCAGUCGAGACUGUCUAGCUAGAGUAUGGGAGAGGGAAGUGGAAUUUCAGGUGUAGCGGUGAAAUGCGUAGAUAUCUGAAGGAACAUCAGUGGCGAAAGCGACUUCCUGGACCAAUACUGACGCUCAUGUGCGAAAGCGUGGGGAGCAAACAGGAUUAGAUACCCUGGUAGUCCACGCCAUAAACGAUGAGAACUGGAUGUCGGGAGGGUCUGCCUCUCGGUGUCGUAGCUAACGCGU